rnacentral:rRNA from 1 species
GACGAACGCUUGCGACGUGCUAGAAAUGCAAGUCGAGCGAGGGAGCAAUCCCUAGCGGCGAACGGUCGCGUAACACGUAGGCAACCUGCCCGAAAGACCGGGAUAACGUUCCGAAAGGGGCGCUAAUACCGGAUGUGACCGCCUGGAGACAUCUCUGGGUGAUUAAAUCAUUUAUGGCUUUCGGAGGGGCCUGCGGCCUAUCAGCUAGAUGGCGAGGUAAUGGCUCACCAUGGCGACGACGGGUAGCUGGUCUGAGAGGAUGGUCAGCCGGACUGGGACUGAGAUACGGCCCAGACUCCUACGGGGGGCAGCAAUUAGGAAUCUUGCACAAUGGGCGAAAGCCUGAUGCAGCGACGUCGCGUGGGGGAGGAAGGCCUUCGGGUUGUAAACCCCUUUUAGCGAGGAAGAAACCAAUGACGGUACUCGUUGAAUAAGCCCCGGCUAACUCCGUGCCAGCAGCCGCGGUAAUACGGAGGGGGCGAGCGUUGUCCGAAGUUACUGGGCGUAAAGCGCGCGUAGGCGGGUUGGUAAGUCCGCUGUGAAAGCCCGGGGCUUAACCCCGGAGGGUCGGUGGAUACUGCCAGUCUUGAAGGUGCUAGGGAGAGAUGGAAUUACCGGUGUAGCGGUGAAAUGCGUAGAUAUCGGUAGGAACACCAGUGGCGAAGGCGGUCUCUUGGGGCACUCUUGACGCUGAGGCGCGAAAGCUGGGGGAGCGAACGGGA